AACGAACGCUGGCGGCAGGCUUAACACAUGCAAGUCGAGCGCCCCGCAAGGGGAGCGGCAGACGGGUGAGUAACGCGUGGGAAUCUACCCAUCUCUACGGAAUAACGCAUGGAAACGUGUGCUAAUACCGUAUACGUCCUUCGGGAGAAAGAUUUAUCGGAGAUGGAUGAGCCCGCGUUGGGUUAGCUAGCUGGGGGGGUAAAGGCCUACCAAGGCGACGAUCCAUAGCUGGUCUGAGAGGAUGAUCAGCCACACUGGGACUGAGACACGGCCCAGACUCCUACGGGAGGCAGCAGUGGGGAAUAUUGGACAAUGGGCGCAAGCCUGAUCCAGCCAUGCCGCGUGAGUGAUGAAGGCCCUAGGGUUGUAAAGCUCUUUCACCGGUGAAGAUAAUGACGGUAACCGGAGAAGAAGCCCCGGCUAGCUUCGUGCCAGCCGCCGCGGUAAAAC
rnacentral:rRNA from 1 species